rnacentral:rRNA from 1 species
UGGCUCAGGACACGCUGGCGGCGUGCCUAACACAUGCAAGUCGAGCGGGGACAUGGAGGAGCUUGCUCCGAAGUGUUCUAGCGGCGGACGGGUGAGUAACGCGUGAGCAAUCUGUCCUGUACAGGGGGAUAACAGAUGGAAACAUCUGCUAAUACCGCAUGAGACCACAGAAUCGCAUGGUUCAGGGGUCAAAGGAGAAAUCCGGUACAGGGUGAGCUCGCGUCUGAUUAGCUAGUUGGUGAGGUAACGGCCCGCCAUGGCGACGAUCAGUAGCCGGUCUGAGAGGAUGAACGGCCACAUUGGGACUGAGAUACGGCCCAGACUCCUACGGGAGGCAGCAGUGGGGAAUAUUGGGCAAUGGGCGCAAGCCUGACCCAGCAACGCCGCGUGAAGGAAGAAGGCUUUCGGGUUGUAAACUUCUUUUACCAGGGACGAAGAACGUGACGGUACCUGGAGAAAAAGCCACGGCUAACUACGUG